rnacentral:rRNA from 1 species
AUUGAACGCUGGCGGCAGGCCUAACACAUGCAAGUCGAACGGUAGCACAGAGAGCUUGCUCUCGGGUGACGAGUGGCGGACGGGUGAGUAAUGUCUGGGAAACUGCCCGAUGGAGGGGGAUAACUACUGGAAACGGUAGCUAAUACCGCAUAACGUCGCAAGACCAAAGUGGGGGACCUUCGGGCCUCACACCAGCGGAUGCGCCCAGAUGGGAUUAGCUAGUAGGUGGGGGAAUGGAUCACCUAGGCGACGAUCCCUAGCUGGUCUGAGAGGAUGACCAGCCACACUGGAACUGAGACACGGUCCAGACUCCUACGGGAGGCAGCAGUGGGGAAUAUUGCACAAUGGGCGCAAGCCUGAUGCAGCCAUGCCGCGUGUAUGAAGAAGGCCUUCGGGUUGUAAAGUACUUUCAGCGGGGAGGAAGGCGGUGAAGUUAAUAGCUUCACCGAUUGACGUUACCCGCAGAAGAAGCACCGGCUAACUCCGUGCCAGCCGCCGCCGUAA